rnacentral:lncRNA from 1 species
AUGUAUGUAAGUUGAAUGAAUGAUCCACUUGAAUUUUAAAUUACCGAUAUGCUAUUAUAUUACUGUUUACAUGAAUGCAAAUGAAAUGUUACAAAUACUAUAUACAUUAUAUAGAUUUGGUAUAAUAAUAGGCAUUGAAUAUUAAAUUUUGAGUAUUUAAAUGUAUGUAUUUAAUUAUAUUAAAUAUAUAAAUACACAUGAAUUGAGGAAUUGAGCUAUUGAUUUUUCAUUUCUUAAUUGAUGAAAUUGGAUAAUACUGAGCCCGUUUGAACUUUAGAAAAUCGUCGGAUACGAGUGACUUGUCACUAGGGUUACCGUUUGGUCGAGCUCCUGCAUUUGUUGCGGACUCACCACAGCUUGUAUGAGCUUACCGUUUCAGCUCUACGGAGCUUACCGUUUCAACUCGAUAGAGCUUACCAUUUAUCAGCUCGGAAUGAGCUUACCGAUCAUGGCUCGAAAGAGCAAAAAUGACAAUGAAUUGACGAAUUUCUGAUAAAUACACUUAUAGUGUAUCACCCGUGUAUCCCUCGAUGUGCUAAUAGGUUCAAUGGGCAUAAUUACUAUUACUGAUCAUAUGAAAAAGUUAUAUAAUUAUUUGGAUGAAUUACAGGUUACACGAUUAGGAUGGAAUUGAUAUAAAUGCCUUGGUUGAAAUACUGGAAUUGAGUUGGUUAUAUUUGAAAUUUGCAGGGGGUUUAAUGUAAAAAUAAGCCGAAAUGCUGUCGAAAUUUUUAUAAAAUAAAAAAAAAUGAAUGAAUGAAAUCAAUUAGUAAAAUUUAUAUGAAUUAUGAUUUACUUUAAUAUGUUGGUUGUUUAUUUUUAAAUUAUGUGUAAAUUGUGUGAUAUGUCCGGUAAUGCCUCAUAAACCUGUUUCGGCGACGGUUUGGGGGUUAAGGGGGUUACAGAAGCAGGGUUGGAAACUUAUCAUGCAACUUGAUUGUUUGUUUGCACGUGUAAUGAAAGCCAAGUAUUUUCUGAAUGGAGAUUUUAUGAGUGCAGGGUUAGGCGCUUACCCUUCGUAUACCUGGCGAAGCAUUCUGGGAGCUAGAUAUCUUCUCGAGGAAGGAAUGGGAUGGCGAAUUGGUAACGGAGAUUCAGUUAACAUCUGGAAUGAUAGGUGGCUUCCUGGACCUGGCAGUGGUAGAGUAGAAUGUCAAAAUAUUGAUAUCCGAUAUUCUAAAGUAUUUGAUUUAAUUAACAAGGAAGAUUAUACCUGGAAACAAGGAAUUAUUCGCACGCUGUUCGGCGAAGAGCAACUGCAGCAUAUAACUUCAAUUUCGUUGGUGAGCAGCAGGAUUCAGGAUGUUCCAGUAUGGCGUGGCGACAAUACUGGGAUAUAUACAACAAAAAGUGGCUAUAGAUGGCUUAUUACAGAGGGGGUACAAGUAUAAAUAAUGAAAUUCCUACUACUUUCUUUACAAGGCUUUGAGAGCUCAAAAUUCCAAGCAAAAUACGAAUUUUUCUAUGGAGAAUUGCUAAUGACUUUCUACCUACUCUACAUAAUCUAAAAGCCCGUAAUUUGAUUGUCAACACUUUGUGUCCGGUGUGCCAAACUGAAGAGGAAACGGUGGAUCAUCUAUUUAGAGGUUACAUAAUUACGCAGCACGUCUUGCGAGGUUUGGGAAUGGCAGUCCCAACAUGCAACAGAGAGAACAGUUGGAAGAUUUGGUUAGCAACAGAAUUUGAAAAUCAGAGCGUAGAUGCAUGUAAAAUUAGAGCUAUUACAUUUUGGGCAAUUUGGCAUAAUCGCAAUAAGAUUUAUCAUACGAGAGCCAGUUAAUGAAGUUGUGGGAUUUAUUAAGGCCUACUAUGCAAAAACAAAUGUUGCGAGAGAGAGAUUAAAGAACUCGUGUGCUAUUGGACAUUUUGUUUGGGAACCACCAGUUAAUGACACCAUAAAAAUUAUCCUUGACCCUUCCUUUAAUCAAUUAACAAAAUUUUCUAUCUCAGGGAUCAUAGCGUGAAACAAAGAAGGCCUAAUAAUGGCAGCGUGUACCUACCCAUUGGAAAAUAUUACAGAUCCAGUGAUGGCUGAGGCUAGGGCGUGUCUACAAGCCAUUAUUUUGGCUGAAGAUAUGGGGUUCUAGGAAGUCUGCAUUGAAGGGGAUGCGUUAACAAUAAUACGUAAACUGAACUCUGCGGAUGAAGAUAGAUCGUGUAUUAGCAGCUUGAUUAAAGAAAUUAAGGGAAAAAGUUACAGAUUUAAAAGAAUGUGUUUCAAGUAUAUACCAAGGGAGGCCAACAAAGAGGCUCAUACGAUGGCGAAAGAAGGGGGCGCUACGAGCAUCCUCGAUUCUGGAUAGAGGAAGCGCCGCAUGCAGUGGAGAUUUUGAUAAAUCAUGAGAGGAGAAACAACAUUCAUGGUGGUUAGAGAGAAAGACAGAGUCUGGGUCUGUGAUGUUUAUGAGCCCGAUGAACUCGCAUUUCAGAAAGAGACUGUGAUCUUAGGAAGGUACGAUAUUGGGAGAAAAUAUGUCUCUAGUACGGCUGAUACAAAGGUUUCAUGCUCAACAGAAGUAGAAGAAGGAAGGAGAAGGGUUUCUUAGGUCUUAUUUUUCUUUUUUGGCGUUUCAGGUUUCCUAGAUACAACUUUUAUUUCCAGUUUUGUUUUUCAAGGCACCGUUUUGGUGGCCAUUCAUUUUUUGACAUUUUAUUUUUCUGUUUUUAAGUCUGUAACACGUGUUUCCUUCUCCUUUUAUUUAAUAGAAUCA